rnacentral:pre_miRNA from 1 species
CAAGUACUCCUUCCAUCCGGAAUUACUUGUCAUCAAAAUGGAUGUGUCUAGAACUAAAAUACAUCUAGAUACAUCCAUUUCAGUGACAAGUAUUUUCGGAUGGAGGGAGUACAAG